rnacentral:rRNA from 1 species
UACGUAGGGGGCUAGCGUUGUCCGGAAUCAUUGGGCGUAAAGAGCGUGUAGGCGGUCCGGUAAGUCCGCUGUGAAAGCCGGGGGCUCAACCCUCGAAUGCCGGUGGAUACUGUCGGGCUAGAGUACGGAAGAGGCGAGUGGAAUUCCUGGUGUAGCGGUGAAAUGCGCCGAUAUCAGGAGGAACACCUAUGGCGAAGGCAGCUCGCUGGGACGUAACUGACGCUGAGACGCGAAAGCGUGGGGAGCAAACAGG